UACGUAGGUGGCAAGCGUUAUCCGGAAUUACUGGGCGUAAAGCGCACGCAGGCGGUCUUUUAAGUUUGACGUGAAAGCUCCCGGCUUAACUAGGAGAGGUCGUUGAAUACUGGAAGACUUGAGGCAAUGAGAGGGGUGUAGAAUUCCCGGUGUAGUGGUGGAAUGCGUAGAUAUCGGGGGGAAUACCAGUGGCGAAAGCGGCACCCUAGCGUUAGCCUGACGCUCAUGUGCGAAAGCGUGGGGAGCGAACGGG
rnacentral:rRNA from 1 species